rnacentral:rRNA from 1 species
UACGGAGGGGCCUAGCGUUGUUCGGAAUUACUGGGCGUAAAGCGCACGUAGGCGGCUUUGUAAGUUAGAGGUGAAAGCCCGGAGCUCAACUCCGGAAUUGCCUUUAAGACUGCAUCGCUAGAAUUGUGGAGAGGUGAGUGGAAUUCCGAGUGUAGAGGUGAAAUUCGUAGAUAUUCGGAAGAACACCAGUGGCGAAGGCGACUCACUGGACAAAUAUUGACGCUGAGGUGCGAAAGCGUGGGGAGCAAACGGG